rnacentral:tRNA from 1 species
GAGAGAGAAGCAUUUUGGUUAUGUUAUUAGCUUGAAACUAAUAGAUGGUGGUUCAAUUCCCCCCUUUCUUG